UACGUAGGUGGCAAGCGUUGUCCGGAAUUAUUGGGCGUAAAGCGCACGUAGGCGGCUUGGCAAGUCGGAUGUGAAAUCCCUCGGCUCAACCAAGGAAGUGCAUCCGAAACUGCCGAGCUUGAGUACUUAAGAGGAUCGCGGAAUUCCCGGUGUAGAGGUGAAAUUCGUAGAUAUCGGGAGGAACAUCAGUGGCGAAGGCGGCGAUCUGGGAAGUUACUGACGCUGAGGUGCGAAAGCGUGGGGAGCAAGCAGG
rnacentral:rRNA from 1 species